CGCAAGCCUGACGGAGCACGCCGCGUGUGGGAAGAAGGCUCUUGGGCUGUCAACCACUUUUCUCAGUGGAAGAAGCCCUGACGGUACCUGAGGAAUCAGCCUCGGCUAACUCCGUGCCAGCAGCCGCGGUAAUACGGAGGAGGCAAGCGUUAUCCGGAAUUAUUGGGCGUAAAGCGUCCGCAGGGGGCACAUCAAGUCUGCUGUUAAAGGCUGGAGCUUAACUCCGGUAGAGCAGUGGAAACUGGUGUGCUAGAGGGCGACAGGGGUAGAGGGAAUUCCCAGUGUAGCGGUGAAGUGCGUAGAGAUUGGGAAGAACACCGGUGGCGAAAGCGCUCUACUGGGUCGCACCUGACCCUCAGGGACGAAAGCUAAGGUAGCG
rnacentral:rRNA from 1 species